AAAAUUAUUUUCAAAAAAAUUGAUUUCUUGAGUAAAUACUGUAUUCUUAAAAUUUCGGAUAUUUUAUGUACUUGAAAAUACUUUUAGACUUGUGAAGGGUUCAAAAUUUCAUUCAGAUUUUACUCAAAAGAAUUGUUUAUUUACGAAAUUAUUCUGAUAUGUCAAUAUUAAAUUAUCGUAUUAUUUACGUAUACUCAAUCCCAUCAUUAACGGCAUCAAUUUAAUCAAGAAGCACAAACGACUGCUAGCCGCACUUUUUGCAUCGGCUAAUUACAGGCAAGGUCAAGCCGAAUGGCAGCAGCUUAGCUCGUGGAAAAAAAAAACGAAACACGCGUGUCACAAGCGCGCAAGCUGCACGGUGUUCGCGCUCGGCGUGCGUAGCCAACGGACCCCCAUAAAAGAGCAGUGCAGCUGUGUUUUUUUUCGAAAAAAUCCGUGCCGUGUGUGCGGGAGCAUGCGGUCGAUUCGACGAGACAGUCACGGAGAAAAAGAGGAGGAGGAGGAGGAGGAGAAGGAAGAAGAAACAGAAGAAGAGGGCAGGUAAAGAAGAAACAGAAGCGCGGAAGGAGAAUCAGAGGCAGAGAGAGGAAGGCGAUAGACGUGGAGAGGCGGAGGCAAUGGAAAAAGAAACGAUUCGCCGCGGACAGAGGGUUGAAGAACGGGUUGAAGAAGCGGUGGAAGAAGGAGGAGAAGAAGCGGCGCAACAUGCCGAGGGUACCGGUCGAGGUGAAGGAGGAUAGCGAAGGGGCAAGGUGCUGCCAAGGUGGCGGUUAGGGCAGCUGAUCUUCGAAUAGCAGCAGGUGAAUGCGAAGAAGCUCGCGCUCGUGGAUGGAGCGAGACAACUGGGAUGGUAGUUGCGGUAGAUGCGCCGCUGGCUGUGGAGGAGGAAGAGGUGGGAUCCACGCGUGCAUAAAAGGUGUUUCGUUAUUGUUACCAAGCGCGCGCGCGCUACCCGCCUCUUGGAUUUAUUAAUCUUAUUCGCCGUGGCAACGGGUUCCUCUUGCUACCCUGAUCAAUCCAAGUCAACGUCGAACGUAUCUAACUUGUCCUCCUCAAUCUUGGAAUGGAGAUAUAUCAAUUUUAAAUUUAAGGAUCCAUUGAUUCAAAUUUGUUAUAAGGAUAUUUAAAAUUUGUCGAAGAAAGCACUCGUCAGUUGCGAAGAAGGUGCGCAAGGUGGCCGAGGAAUCUGUGAGACUUAACGGUCGGACACGCCACGGAAGAACAAGUGCAGGGUGCACUUGUGGGAAGAAGGUCAGGGGUGUUCCCAAGUUACGUGGCGUGGAGGGUGCCUUGGCCACGAAGGUGGCGGCUCCUUCUUCGUGGUCGUCGAAUUAAUAGGCCAUCUGCUUCUGCCUCCUUCGAGGAAGUCAAUGUUUAGGAAGUCCAUGGGAAGCGGCGACAACGGAAAGCCCCAUAAACGAUCGGAGACAUGGGAACGAACGUUUGCAAGGAAGUCGCAUGCGGCCCUGUUACGCACGAUAUAUUCCUUCGCCUUCUGCUAAUCAGGGGCAGAGACAGCGUAGGUGUGAGCUGCUAGCUAUAAGGAAACGAUGAGUUUGGAUCAAGGAUACUCCCAAGUGGUUACUUUUCCGGUCUUUCUACUCUUACUGUGAGACGUCCAACGUUUCUCUAACGGAUCUCUGAUUAGCCGUAUCCAAUAACUAUGAGAAUUCCUUGGGUAAAAAUGGAAAACGAGCAACACUUUAAAGCUUUACGUCAUAGAAAGUUUUGAAAGAUGAAAUAAGUAGAAGAUUUAAGAGAUAUUUCUAAAGAUUAAAAUAAAUAACAGAGAUUCUUCCAUUCCUAUACUUUCUGUAUCCAUCAAACGGCUACUUAUGUCAUGUUAAUCUAAUCAUUUGCGGAACUAUCGAAUGAUCGAUCUAGCCAGUAAAGAUUGGAAUUCCACGAAUUGCAUUGAAGAAUUGCGUUUCUUUGCACUUUCUCAAGACACCGUAGGCGAAGAAAAAUUGCGGGUGAGGACUAUCAAUAACUUCUGCGGAAUUCGCGCUAAAGGUUAACCGAAAGAGCGACCCGUCGCGUGUGUUCACGGAUCGAUCGGAGAAAUCGUCGAUCGUAACUGCAACAUCGUUUUUUACAAAACGACCUUUCUAUCAACAGAAGAUCGAAGAUUAGAUUCUUAAUUAUAUAACUCUUAAACAAAGAAUCUUAGAAUGGUCAUAGUUGACGUUAUGCAUGGUGAUUUUGCGGUUGAUGGAAGAUCUUGAAUUGGUGGAACGAAGUAAUAUGAUCGGAGAGAUUGAAAGCUGGAGGAUGGAAAAAGAUCACAAAACCGAGCAUGAAAAAGGAAAAAAGAUCGAUAGAAGAUUAGUGAACGAAGAAAGAAGAGAAAGAAAACUAGAAGGGUAUACGAUAGGAUCUACGAGGGCUUCUGUCUUCAGCGUGACUGGCCUUGUGAAGAGAAAUGUUGGGUACAGAGAAUCACAAAUAUGAACGUAUAUUUGCCACGACUCGGUGGAAAGAGCGUGAAAAGAAGCCUUGGCAUGGAAACUGGUUGACGUGUCCACAAUGGCGGGCAGGGUUACGUAGGCGCCCUUGGAUCCCUAUUCAGGAUCAGCCUCCUCGAAUAGGAGCUUGAAAAGGAUACGGUGCUCUCGGCAUUGCGAGCACCCACGCGAGAAACAGGGAAGCUUUGUGGAAAAAAAAGGGGAGAGAGUAACGGUAAAGAAAAGAAUAUUUCAAAGAUGAAACUCUUUCAUCGAAUAUAAAUUAAUCGCAAAUCGAAUUCAUCCAUUAUAAUUGUGAAAAGUUGACACAAUUUAAAACUUGUACUCGAGUAAUUAAAUUGGACAUAACAGAAAACGACACAAUGAAAAAUGCAUCGAUAAUAUUUCUUUGAAAUAAAAAAAGAAAUGAAAAAAGGAAACAUCUGGCUGCGUAACUAAAAUUGUUUUUUAUAUUAUUGUAAUUUAUUUAAUUAAUAAUAUAACCAUGUUAAUUAUUAAUUAAACGAGCGAUCAUUAAUCGGUUGUUGGAAGAGUAAUAAUUGAGAUAAAACGAUCAUUCUUUGUAAUCAUAAUAUAAGAUGAUCACUGCAGAUGUAAUGCAUCGAUUUUAUCGUAAUUUUUUUUAUUCUAGAAUUGAUUAUUGGUCAUAGCAGAAAAAUUUAUUUCUUGUAAGAGUUAUUGAAACCACAAAUUCUUUCAAAAAAGCAAAGUCAAGUAUUCAAUAUAUUUUUUGCACUCUCCAUUCUAGAAAUAUUGUUAUUUCUUUCUGCUUCUUGCAAUGUAUUAAAGAAUCCAAGGUUGUUAUGUUAUUACUAACCCACGAUGGAACAAUGUUUCAAUCUUUCAGUUUUUCUUGAGAGACGAUAUUUUUUUAUAAUUAUAAAAGGAUAUAUUUUUAAUGAGGUAAAAUAAUUAUAAUAUAAUU
rnacentral:lncRNA from 1 species